ACAUUUCAGUCAAUAAUGGACCACCCCAGAUUAUGGUGGUCCCGGCAGGCUACAGCACAUGCCGAUCCAUGUGAGUAGAGUGUCUGAAAGAUCUCUUGGAUGUUGGAGCAGUCCUGAAGAGAAUGGGCCAGAUGUUCUGCCACGCUGCUGGAUACCUGUACAAUGGGUUCACAGGUGCUACAAAUGAAUAUUUGAAGGUUCCAGUGUUUCAGAGCAUCAGGCUAACUUCAAAGGCAGCAUUCACCCUCACUGGAGAGCAUGUUUCCUUUCAAGAGGAAUGUGUAAAGCCUCAUGUGACUGUUGCUGUCUGCAGACAGAGAACCCAGAAUGAAAUCUCCACUCUCAUGGAACUUGGGGAUCAGAGGAAGAUGUAGGUAACAUUAUAAUGAAAAGAUAUUAUUGGAGACCAGUUCUACCAGAGUGUCAAAGUAUGAAAGAAGAAACAUUUCCUCUCCCUUUCAGAAACACUGAGAUUCAGUCUUGAAGGCUGAAUGGUGAUCAGCAAACAAAAAAGACCUUUGCUGAAAGAACUUCCUAAGGAUACAAACAAGAAAAUUAAACCCAGAAAAAGAAUGGGAUGAAAGUGACCACAGCAAGCACAAGCAGGGCUGCAGGGACAGGAGCAGGUCUGCUCUGCUGUCGGAGAUGGGAUGGCCGGACAGACCUUUCGGAAAUCAAGACUUGCUCAAGUGUCGAUGAGCUAUGGAUUCAUAUCUGCUGGAAAGACAGCACAGGCCAAGGAGUCAGGUAUCAGGGGCUGUCGCAGGCAUGGGAAUUGAUACCAUGACUCAGUUGCUGCAGUGCUGCACAUCAUAGAGAACAGAAGACAACCCACCACACAAAAUGCAACAUUUAACAUCUGGUAAAUUGGUAUUCAAAGAUAUCUAGGCAAAUUCUAUGAGACCUACAACUGUCUUCAAAUAAAGAUAA